UAGAGUUUGAUCCUGGCUCAGAUUGAACGCUGUCCUGAGGGCUAACUCUUGCCUUUCCAGCGGGAACAGGACUAGCUUGCUUUUUGCUGACGAGCAUCGGACGGGUGCGUAACACGUAGGAAUCUGCCCGGUAUUGGGGGAUAGCCCGGAAAAAUCCCGAUUAAUACCGCAUACGCUUCAAGAGGGAAAGCAGGGGACUCUUCGGAACCUUGCGCUAUCGGAUGAACCUGCGUCGGAUUAGCUGGUUGGUGGGGUAAAGGCCUACCAGGGCAACGAUCCGUAACUGGUCUGAGAGGAUGAUCAUCCUCACUGGGACUGAGACACGGACCAAACUCCUACGGAAGGCAGCAUAGGGGAAUAUUGCACAAUGGGCGAAUGCCUGAUGCAGCCCUGCCGCGUGUGUGAACAAGGCCCUACGGUUGUAAAGCACUUUCAGCGAGGAGGAAAGGGUGUAGGUUAAUACCCUGCACCUGUGACGUUACUCGCAGAAAAAGCACCGGCUAACUCCGUGCCAGGAGCCGCGGUAUUACUGAGGGUGCGAGCGCUAAUCGGAAUUACUGGGCGUAAAGCGUGCGUAAGCGGCUUGUUUAUCUGGAUGCGAAAGCCGCUGGCUUAUGCUGCGAACUGCAUCCAAAACUGGCAAGCUAGAGUGCGUAAGAGGAGUGUGGAAUUUCCUGUGUAGCGGUGAAAUGCGUAGAUAUAUCGAAGGAAACACCAGUGGUUCAAUGCGACACUCUGGUCUGACACUGAC
rnacentral:rRNA from 1 species